ACCAAACCUGUUGCAGGGCUCAGUCCCACAAACAGAGAGAUCAUGGCCUGAGCAGAAAUCAAGAGUUGGACGCUUAGCCGAGCUUAACCAACGGAACCAAUCAGUCACCCCUGGAAGUCUGCACUCUUUGAACAACAUCCCACAAUUUCCUCCAGUACUCAGCCUCUGGUAACCACAAUUCUACUUUGUUUCUAUGAGUUCUGCCUGAAGAAGUCAUUUCAGCUUUUCUUAUAAGGCUGAUCUAGUGGUGAUGAAGUUCCUCAGCCUCUGUUUAUUAUGUCUUUGCUGCCGUUUCUACUGUUCUUUCAAGUAAGAAGUUUGAUUCCCAGCAGUGCUAAUAUUGGUUUCUUCCUGGACAAGAAAGUUAUGAAAAUCUUAAAGCCAAUGAAAUGGAAUUUUUACAUCAUCCAUUUAUGUGACAAGUUUAUUACUGCCUUUGAAAAUUGUUUUACUCAGUUUCAUUGUAGUCAUCUUGUAGGAGUAGACAAUGAAAAAGUAGCUUAAAAAUUCAAUUUUUUAUA